UUUUUCAAAUGCACACAACAUAAAGAUUAUCUAAGAAGACCAGCCAAAGUUUUGUAUAUUUUUUUAGUUUGCUUGGGGAAAAAAAAACUUUUGCACUCAACUUUACUAAAACAUUAAAGCUUUUUUUUUGUGAUAGACACAUUGCAGGUAUACUGUAAAGCCAUUAUAUAUUUUUAUAAAGAUAUUAAAGCCUUGAAUGACUCGUAGAUGUAGUAGUUUAAAGAAAACCUUAAGCUAGAGCACAAAAACACACACCUUUGUAGUUUCUGUUUACAAGCAGAACCUGUUUCCUAGACUUCCUGCUGCUUUCCUCAUGCAUUUAAUGAACUGUUACCAAGUACCUUCUUCCUGUUGUAUGUCUUAGUAUGCUGUCUGAUUGGAACUCAUGUCAAGUGCUCCAAGUAUUAUAAAACUUCGGCGUGCGACUGAAUAUGGUUUCUGCUGAAAAUAAAUCUAGGAAGAAAAGGAAAGAUGAAAAGAGAGAGCUGUACACUGGCUGGGAGAGCUCUGAUGCAGACAAUGCACUGAAUGACGCUAAUGCAUUUCAAGUCUGGCAGAAAUCUAAACAGCAAGUGAAAUGCAGAUAUUUGGAUGAAAGGAACAUUGUAUUAUCGCCUCAUUUAACUGUUACGUCCUGGUUCUCUGGCUCAGAGGGGAACGAUGUGGCAGAAACAUUACACCCAAGAUGUGACACAUCGCAAGAUAAUGCUCCCUCUAAUAAAUCUCCUGUGGCUCUCCCAGCAAGGCCCAACGAUUUGAGCCAAAGCACUUCAGACAUGGAAUCUUUCCAAAUAAACUCCACGUCCACUCACUCAAUGACCCAUAAACAAAAUAUCGUUCAUAGCCCCAGUCCAAGCAUCUCGGAGCUAAAACGGAGUCAGCCAUUAAUACGAUGGGCUUCUGCCACUCGUGAGCAGACAUCUGAGGAAUCGGUGCCCUGGCGAUGUAAAGGAUUUGCUCCAAUGAACCAUGAAGCAAAACCUGCUGAACCUCUGCAUCUCUGCAAAUGGCCAGCUGCCAAGAGACUGGAAUGGUGCCAGAAGAGCUUGGCCAGACUGGAAUAUCUGGGGGUGCAGUCACCAAAAAAUGUGCUUCCUGCUUGCAGACACAGGCCAGUGAUCCAGAGGCCAGCUGUGGGUCAUAAAGGAGAGCAGGUGCAUAACCGACAUGUGCAGAAAAGCUUCUGCUGGACAGCAGCAUCCAAAGGCCUGCUGAAUGAAGAUGGAACAAGGCCAGCUACAUUAGUAGACCCAUGUACCCAAGACGUGUAUAGCUGUUUGUGGAGUGCAGCACAAGCAGAAGUCUGUGGCAAGGAACUGGAACAAGACAGUGGUCAUAAGUUACACAGAAACAAUGUGAGCUGGUUGACGGACAUGCUGUGUCCAUCAGGAUGCCAUGGGAACGGCACGUCCUCUGCCAUUUCGCAUGAUAUCACUUUAUUCCACAUUCUCCAAGUACUACAGAGCAAACCAGUGAAUUUCCCCCAGGUCAGAGGACAGAGACGUCUCGAGACACUUCCUACUCUGAAUGCCUGAAUCCAUCCUUGAGAAGAACGUAAUACUUUUUUUCUAGAUUCUCAACAUGUCACUCUGGCAAACAGCAGCCAAACAAGGGUGAAGAGUUCAGCUACAGCAGACAGUCCACAGGGAUGAGCAUACCUCCAACAUAAUUCCUCUUUCAUCACAGAGCUGAACCCACCGAGCCCUUUCUUCAAACAUUAUAACCAACCAAGGCAUAGCUCCGCACUCAAGAGCACAGAAUAAUGGGUGUGACACACACUUUCAGCAUCCAGUGCUAUAAGCCUAGGUUAACAAGAUUUUUUUUUUUUGUCCUCCGGCAGAAAAAUGUGUUAUUCUUGGUGUGAAGUGACAACCACGAUUAGGUUCUUCUUCUUCGUGUGAACGAAUGAAGCCUUGCUCAGAUUUCUCAGGAGUAUACAGGAAUACACACCACCAAAGGAAAUCAGGAAAACUUUUUAAUAGACACUGGUUUGAAAUUUUAAUCCAUUUAUUAAAAUUUGAUGACAUUUUAAACUGUCUGUACACAAUAGUGCAUGUUGUCCAGGAAAUCAAUAGUUAGAGGUCCUUGUUAACACAGCCUCACGACAGCAGAAUCUUUAUAUCGCACUGUCUAUGAUAGAUAGUACAUCAAUAAGCAUGGCAGACUCCCUGCAUUAUUCUAAGCGAUUUUUCAAGUUUCAAUGUUGUUUCCUUUAUUUUAAUUAGCUUUUGGUUAAAUAAUGCAGAGGGUGCUUCACGAUAUGAAUGCAGACAUGGAGACAAGGGAACAGUACCAGAGUCAAAAUUUAGAAAAUGUUUUGUCUCAUCUGUAGGAAGUAUCCAGAAACUGCUUGCAAAACGGUACUUUGUGUUAGCUACACUCAAUUAUAAGAAUGAAAGGACAAAAAGAACAAAAAUGAACAGACUACAUGAAGAAUGCAGGGCAUAUGAAAAGAAUACAAUGACGAAACACACAAUUGUUUCAACGAUUGUUGGCUAUGCUCAAAAAGAUCAUUUUACGCAGUUAGUAUUUCUUAGAUACAAAGAUUUGGGAAGCAGAGUACUAUAUUCAUCAUCAAAUCUGUCCACUCUGAAGUAGGAUCUGACUGACUUACACUACAAUAACACCUGAAAAUGAAGAUUAAGAUAGAAGGAUUAAUGAAAUGCAACACUGAGAUACAAGCUACAGCAUACUUCACAUUCCACUUUAAAGCUCAUUAAGAGAGAGCAAGAGAUCGAGAGAGAGAGAUCGAGAGAGAGAGAGAGAGAGAUUUUAAUGAUUCUAUUACAUAAAAGAAGUGAUUGAAAAGCAUGAGCAGGCAUCCUCAUUCUUUAAACAGUCAGCACUGGUGAAAAAGACUCCAAAUCAAGUCCAAACCCUAACAUCUCAGAUCUAAAAGACUCCAUCACUCCGUCUAACGGCAGCCGCUUGAUUACCAUGACACGUCAGCUCCAAUCACAUGACCAUCAGGAUGCUUGAGAAUCUGUGUUCUAACCAAAAAAAAAAAAACCUGUGUGAGGAGAAUACAGAACAUUUCACAGGCUUUUCUUUUUUGCUACUUUUGGCUUUUGUGUUCACAUUAUUGACCAUAUAUAUUCACAGCAGACCCACAGAAUGUUCAUGAAUAAGCAUUCAAUUCCUUUCAUGUUUUCAUAUAUAAAUAUGAAUUUCAUGAUUUAAUGAUAUUUUACUCAUUAUUUGUCCCUGGAGGCAAAGCGGCAGGAUCCCACGCUCUCACCGCCGUAGCCAGGGUACGAGUCCCAGGCACGGAACGGACCCAGACACUGAGGGGUUAACUCUCACUGGCACUCCCAUGCCCGGUUAAAAUCAGGAAGGGCAUCCAGCGUAAAGCCUGUGCCAAAAAUCUCACAUGUGGAUCGGAUGAUCUGCUGUGGUGAACCAGAACAGGGAGCAGCUGAAGGACAACAACAACAUUCUUAGUCAAAGGAUUCAAUCCACAGGGAGUCGAAAUUUUUCUUUACAACAUUUGUCCAAUAUAAAUACAAGUCAAGUAGAAAUACUGGGAUUGUACACUAUAAAAGGUCAGUUUAAGAAAGAAAAAAAAAACUUUUACGAUGCAUUUAAAUGCCCUUGAUUGAGAAUUCUGUGUGCCAGUAAAUAUUUAAUUCAGGACCAGUGAUGUGAAGACACACUGUUUCAACUAUUUUUGUUUCUAUGAUGUUUUAGAUGAUCAGAUUUACUAUAUUUAUACACAAUGAUGCAUUUACCAAACUUUUGCAAUGGUGCUUUACUUUCACAUAUGAUUUGUGCCGUGUUUCCUCUUUCCUCGUGUUUCACAGUCAGAAGGCAGACGGAAAUUCUUUGCUUUCGUUGGUGAUAAAUGACAGUUCAUGUGUAUUACGUCUACUCGUAUGAUUCUAUUAUAACAGUGUCAAAGUCUAAAGAAAAAUAGAAUAAAACACGAUUCUUUGUAUGACAAUCAUCAGUCAUAAGUCUCACAGUUGUGACAUACUUAUUCAGUAGCCUGCAAUAUUGCAAAUGAGCGCUUGAACAAACAGAAAGCCGUUGUUUUAUUAGGGAUUUCUGUGAAAAAAUCUUACAGAGGAUUUCUGUGCGUGUUUUGGUAUAAAACAAAAAAAAGCAAUUAAUUUUGGCCAAAUGAAUGCACAGCAAUCAUGAAACAACACGGCAUUACCACUUUGCUCCAAAAUAUUGCAAGGAACGUUGCAAUCUACAGUCCCCACUGAAAGCAAGGUCAGUUUUUCCUAAACACUGAACACAUUCGAGUUGGAGAUCAAAUAUGAAACAACAGAUCAGAAUUUCCUGAUAUUUACGGCUAGAUGUGUUCAA